CGCCUCAACUUUCUCUUUCCCUGUAUAAGGGUGGCUGUGUGGAUUCGUCGAAUCAAAGUCUGGCGCUGCUCUUGAUGACCCUUGGCCAGCAGGACGUGUCUAAAGUUUUGCUUGGACCGCUCUCCCCGUACACGAUCGAGUUCCUCAGACACAUUAAAGAUUUCUUCCAGAUCAUGUUCAAGAUCGAGGUUCAGACGCCUUUAGAAGACGAGAGUAAAGGUGGUGACAAGGUCCUGAUGACCUGUGUAGGAGUCGGUUACAGCAACAUAAACAAAACCCUGAAAUAAACUAGUAUUUUAAUAAUUCAAA